UACGUAGGGGGCAAGCGUUGUCCGGAUUUAUUGGGCGUAAAGAGCGUGUAGGCGGCCAGAUAGGUCCGUUGUGAAAACUCGAGGCUCAACCUCGAGACGCCGAUGGAAACCAUCUGGCUAGAGUCCGGAAGAGGAGAGUGGAAUUCCUGGUGUAGCGGUGAAAUGCGCAGAUAUCGGGAAGAACACCCGUGGCGAAGGCGGCUCUCUGGGACGGUACUGACGCUGAGACGCGAAAGCGUGGGGAGCGAACAGG
rnacentral:rRNA from 1 species